AACAGGAUUAGAUACCCUGGUAGUCCACGCCGUAAACGAUGUCGACUUGGAGGUUGUGCCCUUGAGGCGUGGCUUCCGGAGCUAACGCGUUAAGUCGACCGCCUGGGGAGUACGGCCGCAAGGUUAAAACUCAAAUGAAUUGACGGGGGCCCGCACAAGCGGUGGAGCAUGUGGUUUAAUCCGAUGCAACGCGAAGAACCUUACCUGGUCUUGACAUCCACAGAACCUUGUAGAGAUACGAGGGUGCCUUCGGGAACUGUGAGACUGGUGCUGCAUGGCUGUCGUCAGCUCGUGUUGUGAAAUGUUGGGUUAAGUCCCGCAACGAGCGCAACCCUUAUCCUUUGUUGCCAGCGGUCCGGCCGGGAACUCAAAGGAGACUGCCAGUGAUAAACUGGAGGAAGGUGGGGAUGACGUCAAGUCAUCAUGGCCCUUACGACCAGGGCUACACACGUGCUACAAUGGCGCAUACAAAGAGAAGCGACCUCGCGAGAGCAAGCGGACCUCAUAAAGUGCGUCGUAGUCCGGAUUGGAGUCUGCAACUCGACUCCAUGAAGUCGGAAUCGCUAGUAAUCGUGGAUCAGAAUGCCACGGUGAAUACGUUCCCGGGCCUUGUACACACCGCCCGUCACACCAUGGGAGUGGGUUGCAAAAGAAGUAGGUAGCUUAACCUUCGGGAGGGCGCUUACCACCUUGUGAUUCAUGACUGGGGUGAAGUCGUAACAAGGUAACC
rnacentral:rRNA from 1 species